UUUUGUUGUUGUUGUUUUAAGCCCUGGGCUUUCCAGGCUGAACUUUCUCACUACCAUUACACUGAAAAAGAGCCCUUGAAAGUUUUGCUCGGAUCUUGCACAUUCUUUUGGAAGUCUUACUGUGGAAAUUGUCCGUGUUUUCAGCUUCCACAUCCCUUUCUCCUGGGAGAUUUCUUUUCCGUUUUUUUUACUUUGUCUCUUUUCUUUCCUCCGCAACUGCUUUGUUGUUGUUGUUGUUGUUUCUUGUAAACCACUUCUCAAAAGUGAACUAGUUGCCGUUUAAUAGAAGUUUGGAUGAACUGCCCCCAAAAUAAAGGAAAUCCGAACAGUCAUGGAAGUUGACUCCAAUUGGAGGGAUGGCUCUGAUCAAUUACUCUUUCCACAGGAAUUGAACAGCUUGGACUUGGAGACAGUGAGUUAAAACAGAAAUAAGAAGGCGGCAGAAAAAGACUACCAGAUUGAAAUGUGUUGGAUAUUCAUAUCCACCCAGCACCUCAGAAUGUGGCCAUGGAGGAUGGAGACAGAGAUUGGAGUGAUGCAUCUUCAAGCCUAGGAACACUAAGGAUUGCUGGUAAUCACCAGAAGCUGGAAGAGGCAAGAAAGUGUCCU
rnacentral:lncRNA from 10 species